rnacentral:rRNA from 1 species
UGGGGAAUUUUGCACAAUGGGGGAAACCCUGAUGCAGCGACGCCGCGUGAGUGAAGAAGUAUUUCGGUAUGUAAAGCUCUAUCAGUAGGGAAGAUAAUGACGGUACCUACAUAAGAAGCCCCGGCUAAAUACGUGCCAGCAGCCGCGGUAAUACGUAUGGGGCAAGCGUUAUCCGGAUUUACUGGGUGUAAAGGGAGCGUAGGCGGCAGUACAAGUCGGGAGUGAAAACUCGGGGCUCAACCCCGAGACUGCUCUCGAAACUGUACAGCUAGAGUGCAGGAAGGGCAGGCGGAAUUCCUGGUGUAGCGGUGAAAUGCGUAGAUAUCAGGAGGAACACCGGUGGCGAAGGCGGCCUGCUGGACUGUAACUGACGCUGAGGCUCGAAAGCGUGGGGAGCGAACAGG